rnacentral:rRNA from 1 species
UGGGUGAGUAACGCGUGGGUAACCUGCCCUUAAGUCUGGGAUACCAUUUGGAAACAGAUGCUAAUACCGGAUAAAAGCUACUUUCGCAUGAAAGAAGUUUAAAAGGCGGCGUAAGCUGUCGCUAAAGGAUGGACCUGCGAUGCAUUAGCUAGUUGGUAAGGUAACGGCUUACCAAGGCGAUGAUGCAUAGCCGAGUUGAGAGACUGAUCGGCCACAUUGGGACUGAGACACGGCCCAAACUCCUACGGGAGGCAGCAGGG